rnacentral:rRNA from 1 species
UCUUGACCUCGGAUCAGGUAGGGAUACCCGCA